rnacentral:lncRNA from 1 species
GCUGAGGGUUUUCUACCUCACACUGUGCAUAUUGCACAGCAAGAUAGAAAGACUUGUUUAUAUUAAACAGCUUAUUUAUGUAUCAAUAUUAGUUGGAAGGACCAGGCGCUGAGCCUCUCUCCAUAACAUGUGACUCUGUCAAUUGAAGACAGGACAGGAAAAAAAAAAAAAAGGAAACAGUUCAGAUUACUUACUGCACAUGUGGGUAAAAACAAAAAAUAAAAA